rnacentral:rRNA from 1 species
UGGGGAAUAUUGGACAAUGGGGGCAACCCUGAUCCAGCCAUGCCGCGUGAGUGAUGAAGGCCUUCGGGUUGUAAAGCUCUUUUGGCGGGGACGAUGAUGACGGUACCCGCAGAAUAAGCCCCGGCUAACUUCGUGCCAGCAGCCGCGGUAAGACGAAGGGGGCUAGCGUUGUUCGGAAUUACUGGGCGUAAAGCGAGUGUAGGCGGUUGCCGUAGUCAGGUGUGAAAACCUUGAGCUCAACUCAAGAAAUGCACUUGAUACUGGGUGACUAGAGGACCGGAGAGGAUAGUGGAAUUCCCAGUGUAGUGGUGAAAUACGUAGAGAUUGGGAAGAACACCAGUGGCGAAGGCGGCUAUCUGGACGGUUACUGACGCUAAGACUCGAAAGCGUGGGGAGCAAACAGGAUUAGAUACCCUGGUAGUCCACGCUGUAAACGAUGUCGAUUUUGGAGGUUGUGCCCUUGAGGCGUGGCUUCCGGAGCUAACGCGUUAAAUCGACCGCCUGGGGAG